GGGAGUCUAUAUUCAGUCGAUUUCGAUGCCUAGCUCAGUUCACACAGCUACCAAGUUAGCACAGCUAGGCAUCGGAAGUUAAAUAUUUUCGUUUUUUGUUUUCAUAAAAAAAAUGGAAUGAGAUUAAUAUACCAUCUAAAUUUUGUGUCUUUUUUGUAAAUUCUCUGUUGAUCGCCGAAGAAAGAUGUACGAAGAAGAAAUGACAUCAGAAGUGGAAGGAUGAAGGGAGUGUGGUCCAAAGGAUAGCCAAGACUGAAGGAGGACGUCAAACAACAGGCUUCGAAUUCCUCUUGAAGCCACAGUCCUCUUAAAGCUUGAAGACAUCCAUUAAGGACACUCUGAGAAGUAUUAUCCUGCCCGGAACUUCCAACAGACUCUCCGACGAUCAGUGCCACUGUCAUGUGCUUGUAUCGUAAUUGUGAAGUGUACUGUCCUUCCUGUUCAUCUUUAUCCUUCUCGUUGACUCAAGACGUACUGGUUCAAGCCUAAAAAAUGAAGUGACCUCUGCUUUCGGACAAAGCUGGAUAACCAAGAAGCGCUUCGAUUAAAGAAAUCCAUGCCGAGUCCUGGAGCUAGAGGAUUAGCUUCUGUGGAACCAUUAACUCCAUGUUCAAAUGUACGUCCCAGGAACCUUUUGGCAAAAUUUGUUUGGCAAAUUAUACAAAUGCAGUUUACACUUUAAACACUUCUAUAUAACUUGGCAUGUUUAAAAACACAAAACUAAAACUAAAUACGAUGACUAAAUACGUUUGAA
rnacentral:sRNA from 1 species